GUGUGUGUGUGAGAGAGAGAGAGGGAGAGCUAUCCUGUCACUUUCCAUGCACUGCAAUGUGAAUCGCAGCUGGGGUUUGUGUUGGACGCUUGUCCGGCACGUUGUUUUUAGUCUUCCUGUUUUAUGUUCAGGAGCUCAGCGAUGGAAUCCAUGAGCAUGGUAACUUUCACUACUGUCAUCCCUUUUCUCCUCCCCCUCCUCCUUCACAUCUUCCCUGUGGCUGAGCGGAGAGCUGACCAGGAACAACGGUGGUGGCAAAUCCCAGUUGAGUCUGUGAUGGAGUGAUGCACGCCUUGAGUGAUUGCCAUCUCAUCCACAGUUCUAACAUCAGGCAGAGGGACACUCAUGUCCUGAAGAAACCUGUAGCCUGUUGAACCCACUGAAAAACAGAGUUGUACCGCCUUUUUGAUUGUCUGUUUACUCCAUUUAAUGCCUCUUGUGUUUUUCGUGCCUUUUUGAUUUUCUAUCUCCUCCCUUAGGUUUUCCAGCUGGGUUCCCUGGUUGCAUAGCCUGUUCCUUUCUCCUCCUGGCCCUGACGUCGGCUCCUCAUGGCUUCCUGGGAUGUCCCUCUCUCCUGAUACCAUCUCAUGUCCCCCCUCACUUUCCCUCAUCUCAUUUGCCUCACUGCUGCUGCUGCUUUCCUCAUUCUCUGAAAUUAUAAUGCCACUGUUAGAAUAAAGAAUCAUUUUUAAAUAAAAUAAAUUCAAAUGUCUAAUAUUUCUAAAGGUUCAUACCACAGUUUACUUGAGUACAACAUGUGUGGUCACUGGUCAGUGGAUCAACAUGCAGUGGUUCUGCUGUACUUCACUGCGGGAUUCCUCCUCCUCCUUGGUUCAGGGCGAUGAACAAACAGCAUCAGCCCUGAGUCUCAGCUUGCCUUGCCUAGUCUUAGUAAACUGUCCCUCCUCAUAAAGUGCCUGUAGAGUGGUGUAUUAGUUUAUUUCCUGCCACAUUUAACAGUUUAAUUGCAGUCUUGUGCAGUCGAGAGCAGAACAUGUAGUGCCUUGAUAGAAAACAUUUGAGAGUGUGCAUUAAGCUAGCUGCUCACAGCUUUUUGUUAUUGUGAUCUCUGGUCAUGGUGCGGUUGCUCCUGCUGACUUGAGCCAACCAUUUUCUUCUUCUCUCUGCAUCUUUGGGGAAGCCAUAAUUCUGAUUCCUCCCUCAGACCGAUGGCUACAUCCAUAUGCAGCCAACCAUGGUAAGAUAAUCAACCUAUAAAGGUAUUGUUAAAAUACUAUUUUUGUACAUAUAGAAAUAUUGAACUAAACCACAAAUAUAGAGAUGUAAAACAUUUACAUUUUAAAAAUUUAUCCAACCCUAAAAUUUUUUAUUUCAAAUUUUAACCCACGGACACAUUUUAUUUGAAUAAUAAUCAAAAUAAAGUUAUUCAAAAGAGUUUCAUUAGGUCUUGAGUACAUUGCUCAUAAUCAAUGAUUCAGCUUAUUUGUGCAUAUGUAAUGACUAAACAUAAUGUUGGUAAAAUGGUUUAUUAAAAUGCUGUUAUACAUGUUGUACAAGUUUGGUGUUCAUUUUUUCACAAUUAACACUUUUUUAUCUACUGUGUUUGACCGUACAGUUUUAUUGAAAAUUUCUUUUUAAUUAGUUGCUAUUAGUCAGGCUAUAGAAGCCAGAUAAACUGGGUUAUAGAUAGGGAUGCACCAAUUAGGUUUUUUGCUGCAGAUCACCGAUCACCGAUAUCAAAGAAUGCUGAUCACCGAUACCGAUCAAGUGGAUUGGCCAGAAAUUUUCUACAACAUUAUAAUGAGUGCUACAUACUACAUAAUCUGGGAAUAAAGGAAAUGUAACCUAAUCUAAAAUGGUCUGUAUUAGGGUUGUCACGGUGUGAAAAUUUAACCUCACGGUUACUGUGACCAAAAUUAACACAGUUUUCGGUAUAUUUGCGGUAUUUUUUUUAAACGUGCUACAUUUUCACACAAUUAAAUAAACCCUGUAUGUCAGGAAAUAUUGUCCUCAGUUUGUGCCUAAAUUUUGCCUAAAAUGUGAUAUU